rnacentral:rRNA from 1 species
AGCGAACGCUGGCGGCAGGCCUAACACAUGCAAGUCGAACGAACUCUUCGGAGUUAGUGGCGGACGGGUGAGUAACACGUGGGAACGUGCCUUUAGGUUCGGAAUAACUCAGGGAAACUUGUGCUAAUACCGAAUGUACCCUUCGGGGGAAAGAUUUAUCGCCUUUAGAGCGGCCCGCGUCUGAUUAGCUAGUUGGUGAGGUAACGGCUCACCAAGGCGACGAUCAGUAGCUGGUCUGAGAGGAUGACCAGCCACACUGGGACUGAGACACGGCCCAGACUCCUACGGGAGGCAGCAGUGGGGAAUCUUGCGCAAUGGGCGAAAGCCUGACGCAGCCAUGCCGCGUAAAUGAUGAAGGUCUUAGGAUUGUAAAAUUCUUUCACCGGGGACGAUAAUGACGGUACCCGGAGAAGAAGCCCCGGCUAACUUCGUGCCAGCAGCCGCAGUAACAC